AUUGAACGCUGGCGGCAGGCCUAACACAUGCAAGUCGAACGAGUGGCGGACGGGUGAGUAAUGUCUGGGAAACUGCCCGAUGGAGGGGGAUAACUACUGGAAACGGUAGCUAAUACCGCAUACCAUCGGAUGUGCCCAGAUGGGAUUAGCUAGUAGGUGGGGUAACGGGUCACCUGGGCGAAGAUCCCUAGCUGGUCUGAGAGGAUGACCAGCCACACUGGAACUGAGACACGGUCCAGACUCCUACGGGAGGCAGCAGUAGGGAAUAUUGCACAAUGGGCGCAAGCCUGAUGCAGCCACGCCGCGUGUAUGAAGAAGGCCUUCGGGUUGUAAAGUACUUUCAUCGAGGAGGCGUUAAUCGCAGAAGAAGCACCGGCUAACUCCGUGCCAGCAGCCGCGGUAAUUC
rnacentral:rRNA from 1 species